UUGACGUUAAAACAAGAGAAAUCUGCUUUGAUUUUAGAAAACAGGACCAGUAAUCAUGGCCAUGAUUUCCCUCCUUUUCCUUGGGUCUUGGAUAUGUCAUUCAUCUCAUGCUCCUGCAGUUGGCAGCAAUUCAUAUCUCAGAGGGCUGACUGAAGUUUCCUUGAGAUCCCCCCCGGGAAAGCAUACCGAUUUCAAGUCUAACUUAGGUCUCCAGACUCUGGAUAAAACUCUUGGGAGGCAGAAGGAAGCACUUUGGUUGAGUUCCCUGUACCCUUCAGUCUGUGCGGCAGGUUGCACAGUGCAGUUUAUCUCACAAACAGCCUGAGCAGCUUGGGAGAGGUUCCUCACAGCCUGCUCUGCCUGCCUCAGUGAUGAGCAGCUACAGGAGGAGCUGAUCUGCAGCACCAGCCUGAGGAUGGGGGAAGGCUGGUGUGGUCUUCUGGUGCAUAUCUAAUUUCAGGAGGAAGCUUCAGUGCCCAGGAUCAUCGGACCAGAACACGUAUUUCUGCACGUCAGCCAUUGUUUACUUCACAAGCAAGUCUCAGAGCUGCUUACCAGGACCUGCUUGUAUAACAGCUCUCAUCUCCAGUUUGCCAAAGUUCCUGCAAACACCUGCUUAAUGUCGUUAGCAGAGAACACAGGAGAAUCUGCAAAGUAUCUGACAAAGUGUAAACCUUUGGGGGGCCUGAGCUGUUACCACCUGCAGCCAUCAAAUUCUGCCUUGAUGCUCUGUCUGUGUGCUGCUGUCCAUGUGUGGGAGAGUUGGAAACGAAAGAAGCAGUCAGCUCUUACUCUUAUACAAGUAAUCCUGGUACAUUUAGCUGUAUUUUGUCAAUCUGGCCCCUUCACUCUCUGUGCAUUCUAAGACCUGACCCUAAGGAAGAGGAGGUGAAAGGAAAAGACAUUGUACAGAACCUACACAAGCUUGCCAAUUAAGUGAACACCUCAUGCCUCUUUUCUCUUUGGUGCUAGAGAAAAUAAAAUCCAGAGAGAACUUCAGUGUCUGACCAUUCUGUACCUGUGACAGAGGCAAAUUCUACUUCACUGUUUUCUUUAUAGAAGCUCAAGAUCAUUUUUGGAUGUGUUUGAACUAUUUUGCUUGGGAAGAAGCCUCACCAUCCAGGCACGGCAUAGGAAUGGGAGCAGAGUAAAUUGCUCGGAUGCUGCUGCUGCCUGACUGCAUAUCGAGGUUAAGGGUGGCUUACAUUGGUUUAUUUGGAAUCAGCCACUAACUGACUUGAGGAAGUGACAUAGAGGAAAAUGAGAGAAUCCAUGCAGUGACUGGCACCAUUAUAACUAAUGUCACAGGUCCAGGAUCAGCUUAAACAGGAUAAAUGGCUGCUGCUGCUAAAAGGAGAAGCUGAUUUUUGCGGCUUCCUGCCUUACUUCUCCUCUCACAGACUUGUUUCCUCAGUUGUGCUGCCUGAAUCAUUCAGAUCAUCAUUCAUAGAGGAGAGAAAAGAUUAAAGUUUCCAACUACUUAAUUUAAAUUUGGUCCUUUUACAGAUCAAACAUAGAGGGCAGCAUUGCAAAAAGGUUGAAUUAAUAUGACUGUAUUUAAAUGAAACUUUCAUCCAUGUGCUCAGCUAGUCUGAAUAUGGCAUACCUGAAUGACUGAAGAAGAACACAGAACUUCUGUAAAUGUGGUGAUUUUUCAGUAGUGUUUGCUUGUAAACAUCUUUAGGGGCAAAAAAAAAAAAAAGAGGAGAUUGAGCCAGUUUAAUAGAUUAUCACAACAUCCUGAGUCUCUAAGAGACAUAGAGGCCUGAAAUGAGAACACAGUGUGUGUGCAUUUUGUUAAUGUAGUUUUGUGUGGUUAAAGAUGAAAAAGAAAUAGCUGGGGAAUUCUAGUGAGCAGUAAACUUUAUCCUAGGCAAUGAUAGUGAGAAAAUAUCUGUGAAUUUGGGAUGACUUUACAGCUUGAGAUGAGUAUGUGUUUAACAUUUAUGGUGAAACUUGGCCUGGCUUAAUUCAUUUCUACUGGUGCGUAAUGGUUGCCCUGGGAACACUUAUAAACUUCCUCUUUAAGUGAAAAUCUACCAUCUUCUCUGUUAAAUCUUCCUGUUUUUACAGGAGCACAGAUUUCCAGGUGCCUGGGAUAGUUUAUCAUUUGGAAAACUGCCCUUCGUUCCUGCACAUAAAAAUUGACAAGACAAAAAUGCUUUUCUUCUCUGAGUAAA